rnacentral:rRNA from 1 species
GACGAACCGAGCGAACGUCGUUCGGAAUCGCUGGGCUUAAAGGGCGCGUAGGCGGGUGCUCAAGUCCGUGGUGAAAUCCUCCGGCUCAACCGGAGACCUGCCUCGGAUACUGGGUGCCUCGAGGGUGGUAGGGGUAUGCGGAACUAUCGGAGGAGCGGUGAAAUGCGUUGAUAUCGGUAGGAACUCCGGUGGCGAAGGCGGCAUACUGGACCACCUCUGACGCUGAGGCGCGAAAGCCAGGGGAGCAAACGGG